rnacentral:rRNA from 1 species
UGAACGCUGGCGGUAGGCCUAACACAUGCAAGUCGAACGGCAGCACAGUAAGAGCUUGCUCUUACGGGUGGCGAGUGGCGGACGGGUGAGGAAUACAUCGGAAUCUACUUUUUCGUGGGGGAUAACGUAGGGAAACUUACGCUAAUACCGCAUACGACCUACGGGUGAAAGCAGGGGAUCUUCGGACCUUGCGCGAUUGAAUGAGCCGAUGUCGGAUUAGCUAGUUGGCGGGGUAAAGGCCCACCAAGGCGACGAUCCGUAGCUGGUCUGAGAGGAUGAUCAGCCACACUGGAACUGAGACACGGUCCAGACUCCUACGGGAGGCAGCAGUGGGGAAUAUUGGACAAUGGGCGCAAGCCUGAUCCAGCCAUACCGCGUGGGUGAAGAAGGCCUUCGGGUUGUAAAGCCCUUUUGUUGGGAAAGAAAAGCAGCAGGUUAAUACCCCGCUGUUCUGACAGUACCCAAAGAAUAAGCACCGGCUAACUUCGUG